rnacentral:pre_miRNA from 1 species
AGCUUUUUGAAUCCAUGUAGAAAUUUGAUCAGAUACCAACCCAUUAGGGUUGAUCAGACUUCUAUGAUAAGCGAAGUU